GAAAUAUACGCGUACCCAAUGUUUCUCCAAAAAGAGAUGUCCAAGAAGGCAAAUGUUGACUUCUUCUGUAUGGAUGUAACAUGCAGGUACUGGCCAUACCUUAACAAAAUAGCCGAGGGAUUACCAGAGCUUCUGCCGUUGACAGAAAUGAGGCCAUUUCUUAGCGUGAUGCAUGCUAAAGCCCAUACAGCAACAUGCGAGGUGAGAUGGGGUGGCAGAAGUCAGGACGGGGCAGGAAACACAGUGGGAGAG